rnacentral:rRNA from 1 species
GAGGAAGUAAAAGUCGUAACAAGGUCUCCGUUGGUGAACCAGCGGAGGGAUCAUUACUGAGUUUACGCUCUACAACCCUUUGUGAACAUACCUAUAACUGUUGCUUCGGCGGGUAGGGUCUCCGCGACCCUCCCGGCCUCCCGCCUCCGGGCGGGUCGGCGCCCGCCGGAGGAUAACCAAACUCUGAUUUAACGACGUUUCUUCUGAGUGGUACAAGCAAAUAAUCAAAACUUUUAACAACGGAUCUCUUGGUUCUGGCAUCGAUGAAGAACGCAGCGAAAUGCGAUAAGUAAUGUGAAUUGCAGAAUUCAGUGAAUCAUCGAAUCUUUGAACGCACAUUGCGCCCGCCAGCAUUCUGGCGGGCAUGCCUGUUCGAGCGUCAUUUCAACCCUCAAGCUCUGCUUGGUGUUGGGGCCCUACAGCUGAUGUAGGCCCUCAAAGGUAGUGGCGGACCCUCCCGGAGCCUCCUUUGCGUAGUAACUUUACGUCUCGCACUGGGAUCCGGAGGGACUCUUGCCGUAAAACCCCCAAUUUUCCAAAGGUUGACCUCGGAUCAGGUAGGAAUACCCGCUGAACUUAA